GUUCAUUGCGAUCCCAAGGUUCACUGCGGUUUUCCACAAGCCUGUUUCUGCCUAUCACCAUGAGUGAUUCCUUGAUACUCAUAUUUAUCAUCAAGAUCUCAAUUAUAAGCUCAAGUCUUGAUGACAACUUGAUGAUCUGCAGGAAGCACCACCAUGUAUAGAGGGCAAAGACCACUCUGGAAUCAGUCAAGGCUCAUAGGAACUCCAAUCUUCCCAACUGUGAGAGGGCCUUGCUCCAGUGACUGAUUGCAGUGACCAGACAUGCUACUGUAACUCUCAUGGUCAUGUGCUGGAAUUAGCAGAUAUUCAACAGUUUGGCCAUCUCGCUGACCUAUUGAUAUCAGAAGACCGCAACAGCUCUGCAAAGCAAGUUGGAAAACAGAAUCCAUGAAACUGGCAGUGACCGGAAACCAGUUGGAAGACUUUGGUCUGUGAUGUAGAGGAGUGGGCAGAGGUAGAAGCAAAGACAACAAAAAACAGAAGUGAUGUGGAUGUCUUCAUCAUAUGGCAUGACUCUGCUGACCCAGCAACAAAGAGGAGGGUGUUCAACAUCAUCCUGCUAGUCAGGAUUCUUCAGGAGAAGCAGAGGAUUCUUGUGGCAGAGAUGGCCAACCACUAUAAAUACCUUUCAACUCAUCCUGGUUCCUUCAAAGAACUUUCCUGCUUG